GUGUUCGUUUGACAGGAGAGACGGUAGGCAUAUCCCCUGACAGGGUCGGGAACAGCCUUCGGGCUUACCUGUUAUGGUUAACACUCUCCACCUGGGUCACUGGGUUGGAUCUUACCAAUUUUUAGU